ensembl:lncRNA
CGAACGCUCCAGUGUCUCGCUCUGUAGUUGGCUUUAUCUUUGUCUGCUGUUUCUCCAGAUGCCUCUAAAUGUCACUAUGACUGAACUGCUCUGAUGGUGGGAGUUAGAGCUGUGAGUCAGAUGAGAAGAUUGAUGCCACUCCAAGAUGUGUAGGCUAAAUAUGAAGCUAAAGACAGCUAGCUUUUCUCUGUUGAAAGCUGUCCUUGAAGCCCACACAGGUGAGACCACAGAGCGACAGUCACAACGUUGUGUUAUUGAAAACCUUCGAGAGAAGCUCCAAAACGUCUCCAAGAUUAUUUUUAUUGUUUAUUUGAAUUUAUUUUUUUUGUUGUUGUUCUUUUCUUUUUCUUCUCUGUUCUGGGUGGCGAGGCGGGUGCAAUAUGCUGAGACUGAACUGUGCUGCUGCACUGAAACUGUACUAGCCAAAGACCUUGUUGAUGCAUAGUGAUUCCGUGUCCAUCUGUAUGACGUUAUUAUGUCACUUCUUAAUAUCUGUUUUUCCUGGAGGGAGACGUACAUGUACAGUUUGUCUUUUGUGUUAUGAACGACAGAUUCAAGCCAACUGAGGUUUGAUGUGAAACGUUUGGGGAGAAGAAGCUUUUAGUUUUGUUUCACACGUCCAUGUGCCUUGUUAAAGAGCAAUACAACCAAUAUAUGUGGAAAUAAGAGACACACUUCUUAGUCUAGUCCUAAGCAGGAUCUUUGUGUAAAAGCUUUAAACCAAAUCCUACAUUUGAUUUUCAGAUGCACUCCUGAUAUCAGUCCUGACUUACUGUAUUCACAAAUCAAUGUAUAAUUACGCCAACACACUAAAAACUAAGUAUGGUAUAAUAAAAAAAUCCAUUUGAAAGAGUUUAUUAUGAUUUUAUUCCUGCUUUCUCAGUUGUGUGUUUGUUAUUGUGUUCAACAUAACUCAUAAAGUGUCCUUCCACCUACUGAUGUAGAAGACCCCGUUCAGAAAAUGUUGCUUUCACUAAUUUUGCAUUCACAGUUUCACAGUGUAAGAAAGUCACAAACCAGAUUCAGACACUUAGUAAAGAUGAUAGACGCCACGAGAACCUGAAGUACCCUAGUGUGGAUCAGCACGUUUGUUGGGGUCCUGGCCAGGGCGACUACACGCUGCCAACGGUGACACGUGGAGGUGGGAAUGUGCAGAUCUGAGGCUGCAGGAGUGUCAAAGCUGCAGGGUCGGUGACAUUUAUAGACGGUGGAGCUCCCUGGUUACAGCACGUGCCACAUACCCGUCGCUGCAUUUGAUACCCCCCCCCCACACACACACAUGUCCUGUGUCCUUACUCACUCCACACUGCUAAAGACUACAUCCUUGAAUUAAAACGUUAAUAGGCUUUAUUCUUCUUGGCCUAGUUAAAACAACCACCGCCUUUGUUAUGUUAUGUACAUGUAGCCUGAACUCAGCUCCACAUACAUGUACUGUAUUUGGUGUACUUAACAAAGGUGUUCCCCCCUUUAGACCUGAUUUUAACAUAUUAUUCAAAUAAUCAACCAUGAUAUUGUUGUAGGUGCCACUUUUUGUUGUAACCAUUAUAAAUUAAAGAUGACAUAUGUAUUCUGGUAGCAUGACUAUUAGGAAAAAAUGAAGAUGUUUACUUAAAAUGUUAGAUAUAACCCAGGAAAAAUAGCUUCAACAUUAAAAUGCUGCUUAAAUGUUAACAUACAUUUCAGGUGUUUUUAUUUUUCUACUUUAAAAUACAUUUUUCUAAUAGUUAUGCAGAACAUUUACUUGUAUAUGUGCAUUUUUCCUCUAGUGUUCUUACUUUUAGCAGAAUCUGAACUUUAUAACUUGUUCAUCAGGACUCAGUCCUUCGGGGUCCUGGCUUGGAG